UACGAAGGGGGCUAGCGUUCUUCGGAAUCACUGGGCGUAAAGGGCGCGUAGGCGGCUUGAUAAGUCGGGGGUGAAAGCCUGUGGCUCAACCACAGAAUUGCCUUCGAUACUGUCUGGCUUGAGACCGGAAGAGGUAAGUGGAACUGCGAGUGUAGAGGUGAAAUUCGUAGAUAUUCGCAAGAACACCAGUGGCGAAGGCGGACUUACUAGUCCGGUUCUGACGCUGAGGCGCGAAAAGCGUGGGGAGCAAACAGGG
rnacentral:rRNA from 1 species